AUAACAGGAAGUUUGAUUGUAGCCUCUUCUCCAGAUGCUGUGAAUGAGUCACAGAGUCGGAUGUCAUCACGUUUCGUAUCGUAUGUUUGGGUGUGUGUUACCUGACAUGAAGUGAACAGGUCGGACUAAUUUCCGCUCAAUGAAGCGCCGCAGCCACUGCUGACAGAAACUAACCGUCCUCGCGUUUUGUGCUUGAUAUUUUAUUUUUCUACUUUAUAUUUUAUUUUUAAAUCCUUCAGCGGUGUUUUUGCACUUUUUUUUUUAACUCAGAAAAGACGCAAGAAAGAGAGAGAGACAGAGAGCGCGAGAGCAGGUAUGGCACAACAGGCCGCGGCAUGACUGACAUUAAUGAGGUCGGAGGUGUACUCGGGGUUGGAACAAGCAGAGGACGAGGAAGUGAAGUUGGACAUUUGAAUUACGCAGAAAUGAGCGAGUUUUUCUUUUCCAAACUGAAGAGAAAAACGUCUGUUGAUAGUUUUUCUAGUUUUUGUGCGCAAAUGCGCCCAAAUCCGGAGACGCCGGUGGCACUUUUACGCGCAGGACUUCUGUUGAGUUUAUUUCGUUUGUGCGCCUGUUUGGAUGACAGUUGUGUUCUGGGGAUCGUGGGACGGCCAGUGUCUCUGCCUUGCGUUCUCCCUGAGUUAGUCAACUCUGAGAAUGUCACCAUUGAGUGGAUGAGAGGCAGUGAGUUGGUACUCAGGUCGGUAUGGAAGCCCGAUGGAAGUGUGGAGACAUGGAGCAAUAACAGAGUCACAGUCCCAUCUGACGCUCCUCUGACUGGAAACGUGUCUUUAAACCUGCCAGCGGUUCGUCCCGUUGAAGACCAAAUAUCUUACAGCCUUUUCAUGGUUUUAGGGAAGAAUCAGAGCGCCAGGCUUUGCACCACAUGCCUCAGGACAGCAGCCAGUUUCAGCUUCCCAAAGUUGGAGAAGGAAGAGGCAGUGCAGGGCGAUGAGAAAGUCUUCCUGUGUCACUCCACUGGAGGUUAUCCCACACCUGCAGUGUACUGGCUCAUCAAUGACACCGAGGAGCCCCCCGCAGGGUCGGUGUGGACUCAGAUGACAUCACUCCCAGACAAUCUCUACAACAUCACCAGCCACUUGACCCUCAACAUUUCUGACGACUCCAUUGUGUCAUGCAUCAUUGAUAACCAAUCUAUGAACCAAACCGUGAUGUCAACCUUUGGAGUGGAGGCCAGGCCUGUGACGAAUCGAGCGUCGUCGGCCAUGUGGAUGUUCAGCACAGGUCUGUGUGUGGUAGUUGGCAUCAUGGUGAUAGCUGGGGUGGUGUAUCAGAUCCACCUGGACAAAGUAAGCAAGAGGAAGAAGGAAGAACACAAACAACAUCAGAGAGGAUACAAAAGACGGUAUCAAUUCAAGUUGGAAGACGAGUUGAUGAACCAGGAACAAAGGGAGACGGAUGUUUGA
rnacentral:lncRNA from 1 species